rnacentral:tRNA from 1 species
GGAGAAAUGUCUCAGUGGUUGAGAGCACUGACUGCUCUUUCAGGGGACCUGGGUUCAAUUCUCAGUACCUACA